UCAUUUGUUACUUGAUUAGUA
rnacentral:piRNA from 1 species